CUUCUGGAACCCCUCCGGGGAGUCCUUCCUUGCCUCUCACUAGUUUCUGGUGGUUUGCCAGUGAUCUUCGGCAUUUCUUACAUUUCUUACUGUCAUCGGUAAUGGCGGCCUCCCUGUGUAUCCGUCCUCGCACAGCAGGCUUCUUAGCAGCACACGAGUCCCGAUAGGCGGAUGGAUCGGGCCCCACCUACUCCAGUAUGACGUCAUCUUAACUAACAACACCUGCGGUGACUCUAUUUCCAAAUAAGGUCACAGUCUGAGGUACCUGCGUAAGGACUUCAACACAUCUUUUGGGGGAGACACAAUUCAACCUACAAGGAAGGAAGGAAGCUUGUGGGCUGUGAGCUGUCCUAUGGAGAGACCCAUAUGGCAAGGAAGAGGGUGGCCUCUGGCCAAGAGCCGACAAAGAAUGGAAAUCUACCAGCCACCACUUAAGUGAUUUUGGAAGCUGAUCUUUCUUCAAUUGAGCCUUGAGGUGACUGAAAUCUGGUGAGAAACCCAGAGCCAGAGGACCCAGUUAAGAUGCUCUAUGGAUUCGUGACCCACAGAACCGUCAUGAUAAUAAAUGUUGCUGUUUUAAGCCAC